ACGGUCCUAAGGUAGCGAAAUUCCUUGUCGGGUAAGUUCCGACCUGCACGAAUGGCAUAAUGAUGGCCAGGCUGUCUCCACCCGAGACUCAGUGAAAUUGAAAUCGCCGUGAAGAUGCGGUGUACCCGCGGCUAGACGGAAAGACCCCGUGAACCUUUACUAUAGCUUGACACUGAACAUUGAAUUUUGAUGUGUAGGAUAGGUGGGAGACUUUGAAGUAGUCACGCCAGUGAUUAUGGAGUCGUCCUUGAAAUACCACCCUUUAACGUUUGAUGUUCUAACGAAGAUUACGAAACGUGGUCUCGGACAGUGUCUGGUGGGUAGUUUGACUGGGGCGGUCUCCUCCCAAAGAGUAACGGAGGAGCACGAAGGUUUGCUAAUCACGGUCGGACAUCGUGAGGUUAGUGCAAUGGUAUAAGCAAGCUUAACUGCGAGACAGACAAGUCGAGCAGGUACGAAAGUAGGUCAUAGUGAUCCGGUGGUUCUGAAUGGAAGGGCCAUCGCUCAACGGAUAAAAGGUACUCCGGGGAUAACAGGCUGAUACCGCCCAAGAGUUCAUAUCGACGGCGGUGUUUGGCACCUCGAUGUCGGCUCAUCACAUCCUGGGGCUGAAGUAGGUCCCAAGGGUAUGGCUGUUCGCCAUUUAAAGUGGUACGCGAGCUGGGUUUAGAACGUCGUGAGACAGUUCGGUCCCUAUCUGCCGUGGGCGUUGGAGAAUUGAUUGGGGCUGCUCCUAGUACGAGAGGACCGGAGUGGACGCACCACUGGUGUUCCGGUUGUGUCGCCAGACGCAUUGCCGGGUAGCUAAGUGCGGAAGAGAUAAGUGCUGAAAGCAUCUAAGCACGAAACUUGCCAAGAGAUGAGUUCUCCCAGAUUAUAAAUCUGUAAGGGUUGUUUAAGACUAAGACGUAGAUAGGUCUGGUGUGUAAGCGGUGCGAGCCGUUGAGCUAACAGAUACUAAUUGCCCGAGAGGCUUAACUAU
rnacentral:rRNA from 1 species